GACGAACCGUGCGAACGUUAUUCGGAAUCAUUGGGCUUAAAGGGCGCGUAGGCGGCGGCGUAAGUUGGAAGUGAAAUCCCAUCGGCUCAACCGUGGAAUUGCUCCCAGUACUGCGUCGCUCGAGGGGGAUAGGGGUCUGCGGAACUACCGGUGGAGCGGUGAAAUGUGUUGAUAUCGGUGGGAACGCCAGUGGCGAAAGCGGCAGACUGGACCCUUCCUGACGCUGAGUGCGCGAAAGCUAGGGGAGCAAACAGG
rnacentral:rRNA from 1 species